rnacentral:tRNA from 1 species
GGAGUGGUAGUUCAGUUGGUUAGGCUAUUUACAAAAAAAGGCGGCCUGUCACGCUGCCGAAGGCUUCGCGAGUUCGAGUCUCGUCCACUUCC